ACGCAAGUGUCAAAACGCGUAGUAGUUUUCCAAAACACAAGACAGUUUUGAAAAUUUCGCAGUUUAGCAAAGUAUUUAGUCAGUUUGGAUUGAAUAAUAUGAUAAGAAAAAUUCUCCGGAAAAACAUGAAAAGUGCUUGGAGCUGCUUAGAAGGCCUACACGCAGAAAGAAUGUUUAAUGUGCCGUUUUUUUAAGCAAAGGUCGAUAAAGGGCGAUAUGUCAAAAAACGUCUUGGAAGGAUUUUUUAUUUGCAGCAUCUUUGAGACGAAGAUUUCUUUAUACGUUUUAUGUUUUGAAAAAGAAACCAGUUCAGGAUGAAAAAAUAACUUGAACCUCUUUCGGAUAACAAGUGCCAAAGAACGUUACGGAACUGAUUAGGAACUGCCUUGGCAAGGGAUGAUUUGUUUUUCUACGGUACCUAAAUAUUUAAAAAAAAUAUUCGCAUCGGCCUGACGAAACCACACACCAAUGACAGAAUUUUGCGAACCGCU